rnacentral:ncRNA from 1 species
UACCUGGUUGAUCCUGCCAGUAGUCAUAUGCUUGCCUGAAAGAUUAAGCCGUGUAUGCUAAGUACAUGCCGAAACAAGGCAAAACCGCAAAUUUUAGUAGUUGUUUCGACCGGAAGCUUUCACAUUCCGGAAACGUUGUUGUCAUCGAUGAAAUGCUAAUAUUCAAGGAAUGUGCAGGGUUGUCGGACAUCGGAUAAGAGAGAGAAUGUCGAACAAGUGACCGUCUGUUAAUAUCGCAACC